CCUACGGGAGGCUGCAGUGGGGAAUAUUGGACAAUGGGCGAAAGCCUGAUCCAGCCAUGCCGCGUGUGUGAAGAAGGCCUUCGGGUUGUAAAGCACUUUCAGUGGGGAAGAAAGCCUUGGGGCUAAUACCCUCGAGGAAGGACAUCACCCACAGAAGAAGCACCGGCUAACUCCGUGCCAGCAGCCGCGGUAAUACGGAGGGUGCGAGCGUUAAUCGGAAUUACUGGGCGUAAAGCGCGCGUAGGCGGUCUGAUAAGCCGGUUGUGAAAGCCCCGGGCUCAACCUGGGAACGGCAUCCGGAACUGUCAGGCUAGAGUGCAGGAGAGGAAGGUAGAAUUCCCGGGGUAGCAGUGAAAUGCGUAGAGAUCGGGAGGAAUACCAGUGGCGAAGGCGGCCUUCUGGACUGACACUGACGCUGAGGUGCGAAAGCGUGGGUAGCAAACAGGAUUAGAUACCCCUGUAGUC
rnacentral:rRNA from 1 species